GUCUGGGUUUUCGUCAGCCUGUCGAAAUUAGCUGUGUUGAAAUUAAUUAGCCUUUCUCACGAUGACGAAUAUCCGCCAUUUUUGGGUGGCAUAUACAAUUCUCGUGAACGAAUGCAGACAAUUAAAACAAUGUGAAAAGCGAUUUUUCACUAAUAAACUAACCAUUUAUAAAGCAAAUUUACCAUCAUUUGUCCAAAAAAAUAUAAAAAGUUGCUAUUAUGUGGACUUAUCUCGCAGACUUCGGCUGAAAUGCCACCCAAAAAUGGCGGCAUGAGAAAGGCUAAUUGCCUUCAUGAAAAAUAUCCAAGAAUGAAUAAGGAAGGAAGCACAUCAGGGCCAGGGGAGGGCUAAGGUUUUGGGGAAGAUUUAAGAUUAAGAUUUUCGUGCCGAUAUGUGAAAGGGUCGACUAUUUUUGGAAUUUUCCUUUAAUCUUUAUGACAUUUUAGAGAGGUUCAGAUUUGUCUUCCACUCUCGCU
rnacentral:lncRNA from 1 species